UACGAAGGGGGCUAGCGUUGCUCGGAAUCACUGGGCGUAAAGGGUGCGUAGGCGGGUCUUUUAAGUCAGGGGUGAAAUCCUGGAGCUCAACUCCAGAACUGCCUUUGAUACUGAGGAUCUUGAGUUCGGGAGAGGUGAGUGGAACUGCGAGUGUAGAGGUGAAAUUCGUAGAUAUUCGCAAGAACACCGGUGGCGAAGGCGGCCAAUCUGGACCGCAACUGACGCUGAGGCGCGGAAAGCGUGGGGAGCAAACAGGG
rnacentral:rRNA from 1 species